rnacentral:rRNA from 1 species
UACGUAGGGGGCAAGCGUUGUCCGGAUUUAUUGGGCGUAAAGAGCGUGUAGGCGGCUGGAUAGGUCCGUUGUGAAAACUCGAGGCUCAACCUCGAGACGCCGAUGGAAACCAUCUAGCUAGAGUCCGGAAGAGGAGAGUGGAAUUCCCGGUGUAGCGGUGAAAUGCGCAGAUAUCGGGAAGAACACCCGUGGCUAAGGCGGCUCUCUAGUACGGUACUGACGCUGAGACGCGAAAGCGUGGGGAGCGAACAGG